UACGUAGGGUGCGAGCGUUGUCCGGAAUUAUUGGGCGUAAAGAGCUUGUAGGCGGUUUGUCGCGUCUGCUGUGAAAAUCCGGGGCUCAACCCCGGACUUGCAGUGGGUACGGGCAGACUAGAGUGUGGUAGGGGAGACUGGAAUUCCUGGUGUAGCGGUGAAAUGCGCAGAUAUCAGGAGGAACACCGAUGGCGAAGGCAGGUCUCUGGGCCACUACUGACGCUGAAAAGCGAAAGCAUGGGGAGCGAACAGG
rnacentral:rRNA from 1 species